UGGGAAGACAAAGCAAUCGCUUCUCUCGUAAGAGAGAAGAGGAAAGUCCGGACUUCAUAGGAGAGGAUACCAGUGAAAUACUGGGGGCCGUAAGGCUACGGAAAGUGUAACAGAAAAUAUACCGCUACCAAGUUUACUUGGUGGUAUGGGUGAAAUGCUGAGCCUCAAAACUUAGCCCUAUUUGAGGUAACUCAAAAGGUGACAAACCCUAUCCGAAGCAAGGCUAAAUUGGGGCAAUUCUGUUCUCCACAGAGCUCCAUAGAUGUCGCUUGAGGAUGCUGGUGACAGCAUCCCUAGAUGAAUGAUUGCUCGUCAAUUGCAAAAUUGGCCGACAGAAUCCGGCUUAUCGUCUUCCCAGAUU
rnacentral:RNase_P_RNA from 1 species